CCCCGCCCAGGCCCCUUGGCCCCGGCAGCAAGCAUCGAGUCCCCCGGGAGCCAUCUUCUCUCCUAAACAGAACUGCGAAAAGAAAUAUGCAGCGAUGGAAGGGGUAAAAAGCCUGCUGCCCUCCCUAACAGAGCCCUCUCGGACGGGACAGGUGACAACCGGGACAUAACAGCAACUGCCAGGAGCAGCGGCGUCUCCGCGGGCACACAGAUCAUCAGAAAACUUUGGAGACUUUCUCUCUGGAAAAUGUCCUCUCUCACAUCUAUUCCUUCCGUUGUCGUGACUACACAGAGCCGCUGGCCCAGGUCUACCUCGUGCCAGAAUUCCUGUCAGAGCAUUCCAAGGUCCGACUGGUGGUGAUUGAUGGAAUUGCCUUUCCCUUUCGCCAUGACUUUGAGGACCUGUCUCUGCGCACGAGGUUGCUGAAUCUGCUGGAUUGGCCUUGUCUUCUGGCAUCCAUGGAAACUCAGAGCCUCCUUCCUGGGCAUUGUUCCUACGUCACUGGCGGUCUGGAGGCAGCAGAGCCGCAGCCAGCAGAUGGCACUGGAAGCUGCAGCUGUUCCAGAAGUUGUUUUGGAAGUCUCUGGCAGCUCACAGAAGCAUUGUUCAGGAAUUGGAGCUUCCCCAGCUCUCAAAAUGGUGCUUGUGCCCCUAACAGUGUCCAGGUGACUUGUGACCUUGUCACCCACAGCUCUCUGGUGCAAUUGGCUUUUGUUCCAAGCUGUUAAAAAUAAAACUCUUGUGUUUCCUCUGGGAGCUGUAGGAAGGGAAGAGCCCAGCAUUGGCAGUGUCCUGACAUGAACUCUGGAGCUCCUUGCUGCUGCUCUGGGCACCAGGGAGAUGAUGUUCCAGGAUCUGCACAGCCUCAGUUUUCCUGAGUGCUUUUCCCCACAGCUUGGUACCUGGUCACCUUGAACAGCAGCUGCUGUCAUUGGACAAUGUUUUUCUUUGGUCAAGGAUAAAAGAUAGAAAUAAUUUCUUCUGAACCAGGGAGCAAUUUAGUAUAAAGGUGCUAAAGAAACUCUUGCUGAAGGAGUCAGAGCUUCAGGAAUGGUUUUGCUUGGAUUGGCCCUCUUGUUAGUGGUGUCUGAGUUAGGUGCAUGAGCUGGGAGCAGGCUAAAUCCAACCUGCAUGCCAAAGAUUGCUUCUCAGGCAGCUCUGGAUGCUCUACUAUGGAAGGAAAGUCAGAUGCUAAAGCUGGACUCAGAGUGAGGAUGCCCAGCCCUUCUCCAGCAGGGAGAAAAGGAGGCUAUUUGGGGCUGUUACCAGGCACUUGUGAUGAGUUCCUUCUCUAAAAUGUGCAAUAUCUGUGCUGGGCUCUGGGCUGUGUGAAUGUUUUAGGGUGUGCUCAGUGGAGCUGUUUGCUCCCAUACACUUUUCUGAAUUGCUUCUGCAAGAAUCCACUGAGCAUGUCAAGCAAUGGAGCUCUCUAGGGUCUUAGAUGGGUACAAUUUUUCAUUUUUAAUGAACUUUGUCAUUAAUAUUCCUUGUUCUUUUCUGUCUCACCCAGCCCCACUUCUACUAGGGACCUAUCCUAGACUGUCUGUGAGCCUUGCACA